ensembl:lncRNA
GCGAUAAAUAUAAAAAACGAGGGGUGAGGGCGAAAAGUUAAAACACGAAGCGGCAUAAAUAUAAAUAUUAUUUUCAUGGGUCUAGAAAACAAAACGUCCACGUGGUACAUUUGGAUGAAGUUUGCGGCUAAGAUAAAUGCGUUAAAGGUGGUGUGCAACUACUUUAUCCUAGUAACACAAACAGAAGAAAAUCCGUUUUUUAAUCCCUUUCAAACUCGAGGAAUCUGGGACUUCCACGCCUCUUCCCACCUGCUCCUGACAGUUUGCUUGUCAUUCUUUUUUUUUUUCUGUGAUAUUCGCUGUUUUCUUAGAUCUUCUUUUUUAAUUCUCUAAUCAUGUUUCCUAAUGUGGACCCACCACAAGCAGGAACAAAAGCUGGAUCUUCAGAGCUAACAUUUGCAAAACUGCUUUUUUGCAUCCUUAAUGCCAAGAAAUACACACAUGGAAGCUGAUCAUGACGGGGCUAUAUGUGACAAAGAAAAUGCCCAGUUGGAUACAAGUGUCUUCAUUCAAGCUGUGGCGGUCCUCCCUGGUUCGGCUAGCACAGGCGUGUGUCUGCUGUCCACCAGAGCUCAAACACAUGUUUGAACAUAUUUUAGAAGGUGCAAACUCUAAAAAACUAAAACCCAUGGGAGCCAGCAGGCUUUAGUGUUAAGUUUAAGAUAAAAAUAGAGGUAACUAAAUCAGUUUUCUUGGAAUUUAAAAAAACAAAACAUGAUUAGUUUUGCAGGAGAUGGUCUGUAUCUCAUUGUACAACUGUACAGUGACAAUAAAGGCAUUCUAUCUAUCUAUCUAUCUAUCUAUCUAUCUAUCUAUCUAUCUAUCUAUCUAUCUAUCUAUCUAUCUAUCUAUCUAUCUAUCUAUCUAUCUAUCUAUCUAUCUAUCUAUCUAUCUA